rnacentral:tRNA from 2 species
GCCUGGCUAGCUCAGUCAGUAGAGCUUGAGACUCUUAAUCUCAGGGUCGUGGGUUUGAGCCCCACAUCGGGUG